rnacentral:sRNA from 1 species
AGAACGAGAUCCCGGAGGGCGUGGACGUUGUGGGCGCCGGGCGCAGGUCGAGCCAGAAUGGAGGAAAUUGCUGGGUCGCCGGCUGGGGCGCAACACUAGAUGCAUCAAUUCAAGAUCAAAUUCUUCGUGAAGUCUCUGGCGACAUCAUCUCACGUGAUCAGUGCAGCCGUAUGUGGGGGCUGGACCUACCAGAAAACAUGAUUUGUUUUGGUGACGGUUCUUUCGGGCCUUGCGCGGGUGACUCCGGCGCCCCAAUGUCUUGUGAGAGAAACGGUCAGUUCUAUUUGGCCGGAGUGGUGUCCUGGGGAGCAGAGGCCUGUAACGUCACCGGACGCCCGAGUGUCUUUACUAGGACUGGACCAUUCCUGAACUGGAUGGAAGACAUUAUGUCACGUGAUCAAUGAAAGAUGACUUAUUUCAUCAUUAUAAAUGAAACAUGAACCUGUCCACCGUAUUUUUUACUGACAACAAAAAAUUAAAAAUAAAACAUGGCAGAAAUAAUGCAACGCAGCAACACAGAAGCACAAAUUAUAAUUUAUUAAUUAAGAAAACUACUGUAAAU